UCUCUUUUCCUCCUGCUCUGGCCGCGUUAAGAUGUGGCUACUUCCCUUCGCGUUCUACCUCGAUUGAAAAUUUUCUGAGGCCUCCGUAGCCAUGCUUCCCGUACAGCUGUGGAACCGUGCCUGCUUGUAAUGUUACCCCUGAGAAAAGUCAUCUGAAAAUGGGAAAUGGACCUGGACAGGAAUAAGCAGAGCAUGCUGGGGCCUCAUUUUCUUCUGUCACUGGAGCCAUCAUUUAUUUAGCAGCUUUGUUAAACAGAAAGGGGUCUGUCCUGCGUGUGCAGUCUUUGGAUUUAAAAUUAUGGAAAUUCUUCAGGCAGAAAAUGGGCACAUAUGGUUAUCACAGAAAAGCUGUUUUAAAGCCAGUUUUAAGGUAUUAUUAUGCCGCUACCUUCAAGAAGUAAUUUGCGUGCUGUUUAUUGGAGCUGUGAAUUUAAUCAUCUCAAUCCCACGCUAUUACAGGAUGACUAUAAGAAGAUGUAUUGACAUUUCUUUGGACACAUAAUUUUGCCUCCAUUGUGUGUUGUUUUGCCAGAAUACUGAAGGCAGUGUUUGUAUGAUGGCACAUCCAAAUAAAAAGCAGGUCCUCCUUUUGGGACAGUGAUCCAUUUAAGUAAGUGGUGUUUUAUCUUCAUUGCUUCAGGGAGUGUUGAUUUGUCUGGCAUUCGACUCUCAGAAAUUCUGUCAGGAAAAAUAAAUGGAUAUGAAAUCUGAAGAUAAAGGUUUGUGGGGAAAGAAUAAAAGGAUCAUGAAAUGUCAGGGCUGAAAAAUAUCUUAGCAUCCAGCCUAGUGUUCUAUUUACACCAUCCCUGUUUUGGCUCCCAAUCUGAUUCUCUUCCUAUUGCAUCAAACUGAGUUUUAAAGAAAUUUGAAACUAUGCAUUUCAAGACUAUUUGGUGAUUAUGUUAAUCUCCAAUUCUGCCUAUUUUUGAUUAUGUUAAAAUCAGCCAAAAUAUAGAACAUAGAGUUAUGCUUAUGCCCAACAUCAUAAUAUGCCUUCAGUUAUUAACAUAUGUUGUAGGUAAGCUUGUUAUUAUUUGAAAUGUAAAUAUUUAUAUGUGUAAUGUGUAAAAGUUUUCAAAUAUGGGUCAUAACAUAUCCAAUGGUUUAUUUGUCUAUGCCACUAAUACAUCUUUGGGCACCCAAGUUUAAGUGCAGUACAUUUUGCUGGUUGAUGUACCAAGGAAUGACUUAUAAUUGUGAUGAAAUUUGAACUUCAUAUUGCAAAAGAUAAUCAUCAUUUGCUAGAAAAAAUUAAAACCGUUUAAAU
rnacentral:lncRNA from 1 species